rnacentral:rRNA from 1 species
GACGAACGCUGGCGGCGUGCUUAACACAUGCAAGUCGAACGAAGUGGAGAACGGGUGAGUAACGCGUAAUCAAACUGCCCUUCAGAGGGGGACAACAGUUGGAAACGACUGCUAAUACCGCAUACUGAAGCAGGUGAUUGAGUCUGAUUAGCUAGUUGGAGGGGUAACGGCCCAGCAAGGCGAUGAUCAGUAACCGGGUGUGGAGGGUGAACGGCCCAAUCGGGACUGGGGCACGGCCCAGGCUCCUUAGGGAGGCAGCCGUGGGGAAUUUUCCGACAUGGACGAAAGUCUGACGGAGCAACGCCGCGUGGGUGAUGACGGCCUUCAGGUUGUAAAGCUCUGUUAAUCGGGGCGCGUUACCGGAAGAGAAAGCCACGGCUAACUACGUGCCAGCAGCCGCGGUAAUAC